UCCAGCACGCUCUGCUCUCUGGUGGGACAUUUUACAACCUGCCUGUACCUGGGAAGCUCCUCACUCAGAUUUGCCUUGUUGAAGUCUCCAAGCACAAUCACAGGAGAUUGUGAUCUCAUAAAGAUCACAAAGAUCAUAAAGAUCUCAUAAAGGCAAUACAAUGCAAGAUUGUUCAGUGCCUUAAAACUAUUACAUACAGAAAUAUCACAUGCAGCUGUAAAUGAUUUUAUUUGUACUUUCUUAAUAUUUUAGUGAAUGUUCAUUGCAGUAUGUAUUUUUGCCUGAAGACGUAGUGGGCACAUCUGAUGAAUGCAGCCAUAUGGUUGGCGAUGACGGGUAUUACCCAGUGAAACGGCUAGUAAAAACAAAAAAACAAAAGGGGAAAAUAAUGGAACUAAUCGAGUGGGAGCCCUGCUCCAUGUGGUAUGGACAUUUUCGCUCUUCUUUGUGAUGAAAUUUGAGGUUUGACUCAGGCAGCCAGAGAAGGUAUGAGUCACAUUCCAACAUAGAACAUUCCAACUUCUGUCGAGAAGUUGAGAUAGUCUGGGGUGCAUGCACCUUUCGAACAGUGAAUAGUGCUGGAUGGUUACUGCAGAUGUAUUCAUUUGUAAUAGUCACCCAUCCAAGUGUAGUAGAGGAUCAACCCAAUAGGAUGCAUUCACUGGGUGGGUGCAAUAUGGUAAUGUGUGUGUACUUGAAGUCCCUGUCCAAGGGAGAAAGGUAUUGAUGGGCCAUUAUGUUAAUGUAUGAGUUAAAGAGAUGACAGUGGGUGCUACAAUUCAGGCUUAUGACCACAUCAGCUAGUUAUGAAAGACAAAGGCUCUAUUCACAUGUUGAUGUACCUGAGGGGGGUGUUCAGGACAUCAUUGUAUGAAGCUGAAAGAUAGGGUCCAAAUCAAGACCUCAUGUUGAAAGAAGGAUUUCCCCUCUGGUCAAAGUGGCUUCUUUAACUCCUGUUUCAAAACAUGUCUGCAUUCUCCCUUUACAUGCUGUUUUAGUGUUAACAUUCUGGGCCUGAUACUGCAAAGGUCUGAGAUCAAGUUUGUGUUCCAAUGGCAAUGCCUCAGUCAAACAUUCCUAUAGACGAAAGAUAUACAAAUGUACAUGUUCAUGUAUGUGUUACAAACUGAAGACCACCAAGGAUCAUUGUUCUUUACCCUGCUGUGAUUAAAUCUUUUUUUUCUUUUUCUUGCAGUGGAAAGAUAUUCCAACUUGAGCGGGUACGGAUG